AGGGGUAAAUUAUCAUUAUCUGCCAUUAAAAAUAUUAUAAUACAUUCCUGAUUGCAAAAAUUAUCAACUGUUUUUCAUUACAAUAAGCUGAAAUACUAUCCAAUUACAUAAACAACUAUGAAAUUACUUUGAUAAUUUGCAUUAAUUGUUAUAAAACAACCUAAAAACAUAAUUUCAUUAGGGAAAGUCCAUAAUAAAGAGAUCAACUGCAGGCCUGAAACUAUAAUGCAGACUUCCAUAUAAUAUUAAAUGUUAUAUGGCAGCAUGGAAAGGCUAUCGUAUAUCAUUCAAUAUUCUCCAAGUUCAAUUCUAAGUCUUAUACCUGCACAUGCUUUUAAAGAAACUAUAGCCCUAUCCAUCAAUACCCAUCCUUCAAUACCUGUUUUUUUAACACUAUUAUUUAAUCAUUUGCUGAUUACUAAGGACCUAUUGUCCUAUUGCAAUCCUUAUUGUAGGCCCACAUAUCUCUGAAAGGAUUAUAAGAUUGUAAAGGAUGGAGAUUAAAAUGCUGGAUCUGGAUUUGGAAUAUUCAUAUUUCUUAAGGAGUGGAGUGAAUUUGAUCCCAGUCUUCUAAUGGAAAGUUAAAGCAUUUCCAUGCAGCCAAUUUUCAAUAUCUGUUGGUAGAUUCAAUCUUGGUGUGGAUGGUCAGCAAUUUAUCCGAGAAAUAGCCUCACUGUGAGUGAAAAGUAGCAUAAAACUGGAAAGAAAGAAAAUGUAUCUAAAAAGUCAAUACUUAUGUUCUUU
rnacentral:lncRNA from 1 species